rnacentral:tRNA from 1 species
GCCAUGUUGGCUUAGUGGUUAAGAGCUUGGCUGCUAACCAAAAGGUUGGCAGUUUAAACCUACAAGGCA